UGGUCAUUGCAAUUCUACAUCAUCGCAUUGUUUCUGUUCGACAGUCCAGUAACCGGGUCGCACUUCAGAUAUGCCACAAUCAGCUGUAGGCCCGCUCUGGAUAACGCUUUAGUUGUGACCUGUGCUUGGAAAUCUGCCUGGAUAUUAGAUAAUGGUCCUUGUGAAUACCCCUGUACGCAGGCUAAUGUAGGACAACUUUCAGGUUCUCCUGGGGAUUUUGGUUAUUGGCGG